UAAGGGCGCAAACGAGCUGGUGUACAUUGCACAUGGUUGUGUCGUUUACCCGCAGUCUCGGGGUUUUUUCAACCAUGUGCAAUGUACACCAGCUCGUUUGUGCCCUUACAUGUUGUUG
rnacentral:pre_miRNA from 1 species